rnacentral:lncRNA from 10 species
CGGGGCCUUUGCAGCCUCCAUACUUAGCGAUGGCCUCCUGGACCCACUUUCUCUCUCAAACUGUCUUUUCUCAUUCCUUUGACUCUGCUGGACUUCGUCAUCCCCACGACCCGGUGUUGAGUCUGAUCACCCAACAUCAUCAGGAUAGAAGCUUCCCUCUCCUCCUCCAGACCUUGUGGUGUGCACGUGGGAGUCCAGGGACUAGAAUACUCAUUUUCAAAGCCUGACAUUGGACCCGGGAGACAGGGAAAAACCAUCCUCAGGAAGUCACAGUGAGUUCCUUGAUUUAGUUAUACAACCGAGAGAAAGAGAGAGCACAGAGGUAUACAGCAUGUGAAACUUUGGACUGCUCAAAGAAGACAUUUUCAAACAUAUCUUUUCAGGACUGUCAAUAGGAACCGUAAGUGAGUUUCAGGUUCGCUCAUCUAAUUGUAGCAGUUAACUGACUGACAAGGUGAAGAAGGAUUGUGGUUUUCUGUUUCAGAUGGAAAAACUAAAAACAUAAGAGAAUCUCACAAUUAUCCACAUAUGCCCCAAAAGUUCAUACUACAGAAGAAUCUAUAUAUACUUAAACAGACUAUUGAGAAAAGUCAAGUUGUUUUUCUAUAUGAACCCAAUAAUGCAUUUUCAAGACACUGGAUAAAUUUAAAAAAAACGGGCAUUUUCCAGGAAACGGAAAGACUAGAAAUAAAAGUAGAAGAAAAAGGCUUAAACAAUAUUCUCCUUUAACUUUCUGUGAUACAUAUUCAUGCUAGUUUAAAAAAAAAAAUUCUCAAAGUAACUACAGCGGGAAUGUAGUAAGGUCACCAGAAGAAAUGUCCUGGGUCCAUUGGCCCAAUCUCUUACUGCUGGAUGAUGCGUGUGAAGAAACCAGAGAGGCGCAGAGUGAGGCAGUGAGGAAAUAAAAAUAGAGUCCGCGCUUUCAAGUGUUUCCUGAUCUGCUGGGGAAAAUGGUCAUAUUAACACAUGGAGUCAUGGCACAGUGUGUGCUAAGGAUCAUGGUAAAGGUGUACACAGUGAUUUGCUAACAAGAGGGAUAGAAGGUGUGGCUCAGGGAAUGACACAGCUGUCUGAAAGAGUCAAAAUGUACCACAGAGAACGUGACAGAGAUCUGGAUCUCAAAGAAAUGAGAGGUUGCCUAGGGAGCAACAACAAGGAGGGCAUUCCUGGCAGAGGAAAUGGCAUGUGCAAAGAGACAUCAAGAGGAUGAAGCAUUAGAAAUAUAACUAAAUUAUGGUUAUAGCUUGGGUGCCUAUUAAUAGAUCUGCUCAAUAUUAGGCAAAAACAAUAACAAUUGAGAAUUUGUAUAUCAUCUUUGGUGUCUUCUUUGAUAACUUAUUUUGUGUAUGUGUGUUUUUCUUUCCUGCUACUACUCUGGAGACUUGUUCCACUGGUGACCUUUAUGCAUUCUAAACAAUCGUAAUUUCACAGAGUAAGUUGUUCUCUUCUCCCUAUGUGUUUUGUCACUAGCCAUUGUUUUAAAGUAGCUUGCUUGGUUUUUUGUAUUGCAUCUUGUGAAAGCCUAGAUGCCUAGGGGCUUUCAUACAAAUGUAGAAGUCAAAAUACAUUUCUUCUUGGAAGGUAAUAAAGUGUGAAUGUUUUCAACAAAUAAAG